AUCAAAUCUUCUAAUACGUGUGACCCUAUAGGUUUGAACCUAAGCCGAUAGUAUAAGAAUAACUUUCUAUACCAAUCGAUGUAACCAUCUAGCAACGAUGACUCGACAACCGGAUGGAUCGAAGUGUUGCAAAGCAACCUUCUAGAACCUACUAGCGCAUGGUUACCAUAUAAUUCAUCCCUUUGAUCCAAAUGCUCAAGGUGACUUAGAAUUUAACUGUGAAUCUUAAUUAAGUCAACCACAU
rnacentral:lncRNA from 1 species